UACUAUACUAAAAAGUGAAAAUAAAGCUAGAUUAUUAGUAGAUAUAUUCUUUAAAUUUAAAGAAUUUGGCGGUGGUUUAGUCUUGUCAGAGGAACCUGUUUUUGAAUCGAUAAUCCACGUGGAAUCUUACUUGUUUUUGUUUUCAGUCUAUAUACCGUCAUUAGCAGAUAAUUUUUAGAAAAAGUAAUUAUUGGGAUUUAUUGAAUAAUAAAAAUUAGAUCAAGGUGUAGCUUAUGAACAAGUUAAAAUGGGUUACAAUAAAUUAUAUUUAUAACGGAGUAGUUAAGGAAGAAUAAACUAAAAAGGAGGAUUUGAUUGUAAUGUAAGUUUAAUAUGCUUAAGAGAUAUAAGCUCUAAACCAU
rnacentral:rRNA from 1 species